rnacentral:lncRNA from 1 species
UCGUGAGGAGGAAUUUCUUGAGUCUCCAGAUUUGAUCAAGCAGGGAGAUGUCCUCCACAGUUGGAUCUAAGAAGCAAAGAUCGUUGAUGAGUGGGUUCAGCUGGUGCCUAUUAAUCUUCAAACUGUCGGCACCUUUGUCUUCCACCAUAGGUGUGUGUUGGUCAAAUUCAUAUGUACCUCCUGCAACAUGGUUAGUGCAAUAUGGUUCCACAGAAAUAACAUGCAGG